rnacentral:rRNA from 1 species
AAACCAACCGGGAUUGCCUCAGUAGCGGCGAGUGAAGCGGCAAGAGCUCAAAUUUGAAAUCUAGCGCCUUCGGUGCUCGAGUUGUAAUUUGUAGAGUGGAUCCUUGGGGCUGCUCCUUGCCUAUGUUCCUUGGAACAGGACGUCAUGGAGGGUGAGAACCCCGUGUGGCGAGGGGUGCGGCUCCGUGUAAGGGCUGCUCGAAGAGUCGAGUUGUUUGGGAAUGCAGCUCUAAGUGGGUGGUAAAUUCCAUCUAAAGCUAAAUACUGGCGAGAGACCGAUAGCGAACAAGUACAGUGAUGGAAAGAUGAAAAGAACUUUGAAAAGAGAGUGAAAAAGUACGUGAAAUUGUUGAAAGGGAAGGGCAUUUGAUCAGACAUGGUGUUUUGCGCCCCCUGCUCCUUGUGGGCGGGGGACUCUCGCAGCUCACUGGGCCAGCAUCAGUUUUUGCGGCCGGACAAAGCCGGAGGAAUGUGGCUUCCCUCGGGAAGUGUUAUAGCCUACGGGAACGCGGCCAGCGGGGACUGAGGAACGCGACUUUUGUCAAGGAUGCUGGCAUAAUGGUUAUAUGCCGC